rnacentral:lncRNA from 1 species
CUUUGGCAUUCAAUCUUUUAUGGCUUUAUAUUGUUACAGCAGGAGUGUUUUCCUGUGUUUUGUUUCCCCACCCGAAAUACAGGCUGGUCAAGGGCAGGGAAUACAUGUUUGUACAGGUCUGUGUUUGAGAACUUCCUUGUUCAUCCGGUAUAACAAUCUAUACCGAGUAGAUUCAUUUUUACCUCUUGAGUGACUAGUAGGUGCCAUGGGGAGCGUCAGAAAUACUCAAGAUGUGGUCCCAGGCCUCAAGUGAGUAGUAUCUUAUUUGGGCAAACAUUGUGUACAUAUGUGGAACGGUAUAAGAAUUUGGAGUUACAUAAAGCAAAUAAUCGGAGAAGGCAGUGGCACCCCACUCCAGCAGAAGAGGUUGAUAAUGAAAUGGUUGAGGGGACUCUCUAUUUUGAUAUGACUGAAAGCACCAAGAAGAGAAACCGAAUUUUGCAUUUCAAAGCUGAGAGAGCAGUAGGACUCUUGCGUGGCAGACUCUUGUUGAAUUCUAGGACAGUGAUUCACAAGGACAAAGAGCCGUGACUGUUAAGGAUACUAGUUCAGUGUCUGCUCAUGUGAAAUAAAACAGUACUGAAUGAACUUGUUACUACCGUUCUUUUAAAAAACACUUUUAAACCCCUAGUGAAUGUAACUUACCAGGAUGGGCAUGUCACGGAAGGCUUCUGGUGCCCACUUGUCCGGUUGCCUUGUCCUUACGUGAAAUCUUGACCCACUUCUUCAGCUUGUCUUGGACAAUCAAGCACUCUUGGGGCCCGGAGGCCUCUUCCAACCAAGUCGUAUUUCUCUGGUGAAAAAAAAAGUAAAACAGCACUGCUGCUUUGGUGUGAGACCUGGAGGGAGGUCACUCGGAAGCCACGUGGACUCGGAUGAGGGCCCGCAAACAGAACCCAGCAAGAUGAAGGAAAACGGUAUUCUUCGAAAGCCCAGUUUUGUGUCCCUUUAGUUGGGAGACGACAGUGUUAUCUUGUGGGUGUUGGGCACCGACAGAGUCCACUGAACCCACAUGACCCCGCCGAUAGGGAGCACCGCCAUUGGCCCUGGAAUCCAAGGAGGAGGUGCCCUGGAGCAGGCCUGGGCCUGGUUAGCAGCUCUGCAGGGCAUCCUACCUUGGAAACAGCACAGUUUGGCUUCCACGUCUUCUGUGGGCUUAGAGAAUCCUUUUUUCACCAUGUCAUCAGUAGGGACAGAGAACCAGGUUGGUUCCUUCAAGACGUGUCCCAGUGCCUUGGAAUAGCAGCUGUUCCCAGAAGUGAAUGAUCAUGGCAGGUGGCUGUGCAUAGACUGUAGGGCCAAGUGACCGAUAUAACAUUCAUGGAAGAAUGGUUUAAAACACUGA